AUUGAACGCUGGCGGCAUGCUUUACACAUGCAAGUCGAACGGCAGCGCGGGCUUCGGCCUGGCGGCGAGUGGCGAACGGGUGAGUAAUACAUCGGAACGUGCCCAGUGGGUGGGGAUAGCUCGGCGAAAGCCGGAUUAAUACCGCAUACGACCUGAGGGUGAAAGCGGGGGGUCUUCGGACCUCGCGCCAUUGGAGCGGCCGAUGGCAGAUUAGCUAGUUGGUGGGGGAAAGGCCUACCAAGGCGACGAUCUGUAGCUGGUCUGGGAGGACGACCAGCCAACCUGGGACUGAGACACGGCCCAGACUCCUACGGGAGGCAGCAGUGGGGAAUUUUGGACAAUGGGCGAAAGCCUGAUCCAGCACUGCCGCGUGUGUGAUGAAGGCCUUCGGGUUGUAAAGCACUUUUGGCGGGAACGAAAAGGACUGUGCCAAUACCACGGUUCGAUGACGGUACCCGCAGAAUAAGCACCGGCUAACUACGUG
rnacentral:rRNA from 1 species